rnacentral:rRNA from 1 species
UGGGCAACCUGCCCCAGACACAGGGAUAACCCCGGGAAACCGGGGCUAAUACCGGAUACUCCGGUCGAGCCGCAUGACUCGAUCGGGAAAGCUCCGACGGCCUGGGAUGGGCCCGCGGCCUAUCAGCUUGUUGGUGGGGUCAUGGCUCACCAAGGCGACGACGGGUAGCUGGUCUGAGAGGACGACCAGCCACACUGGAACUGAGAUACGGUCCAGACUCCUACGGGAG